rnacentral:ncRNA from 1 species
CGACCUCAGAUCAGACGUGGCGACCCGCUGAAUUUAAGCAUAUUAGUCAGCGGAGGAAAAGAAACUAACCAGGAUUCCCUCAGUAACGGCGAGUGAACAGGGAAGAGCCCAGCGCCGAAUCCCCGCCGCGCGUCGCGGCGUGGGAAAUGUGGCGUACGGAAGACCCACUCCCCGGCGCCGCUCGUGGGGGGCCCAAGUCCUU